UACAGAGGUCUCAAGCGUUGUUCGGAUUCAUUGGGCGUAAAGGGUGCGUAGGCGGCGCGGUAAGUCGGGUGUGAAAUCUCGGAGCUUAACUCCGAAACUGCAUUCGAUACUGCCGUGCUCGAGGGUUGGAGGGGGGACUGGAAUUCUCGGUGUAGCAGUGAAAUGCGAAGAUACCGAGAGGAACACCAGUGGCGAAGGCGAGUCCCUGGACAACUCCUGACACUGAGGCACGAAAGCUAGGGGAGCAAACAGG
rnacentral:rRNA from 1 species